UACGUAGGGUGCAAGCGUUAAUCGGAAUUACUGGGCGUAAAGCGUGCGCAGGCGGUUUUGUAAGUCUGUCGUGAAAUCCCCCGGGCUCAACCUGGGGAAUUGCGAUGGAGACUGCAAGGCUAGAAUCUGGCAGAGGGGGGGUAGAAUUCCACGUGUAGCAGUGAAAUGCGUAGAGAUGUGGAGGAACACCGAUGGCGAAGGCAGCCCCCCUGGGUCAAGAUUGACGCUCAUGCACGAAAAGCGUGGGGGAGCAAACAGG
rnacentral:rRNA from 1 species